rnacentral:rRNA from 1 species
GACAGAGGUGGCAAGCGUUGUUCGGAUUUACUGGGCGUAAAGCGUACGUAGGUGGUCGAAUAAGUCUGUUGUGAAAUCCCCCCGCUUAACGGGGGAACUGCAGUAGAUACUGUUUAACUAGAGGAUGGGAGAGGAGAGUGGAAUUCCCGGUGUAGCGGUGAAAUGCGUAGAGAUCGGGAAGAACACCGGUGGCGAAGGCGGCUCGCUGGGCCAAUGCUGACGCUGAUGCGCGAAAGCGUGGGGAGCAAACAGG